AUGUCGGAUGCAGCUAGUUGCGGAGGGGACCCGUGUGGUGAGAACCUACAGAUCCCUCCAGACUUACCAAGUGAUGAUUCAGCAGAGAGUGCUCUUCCAGAGUCAUGUCCAGCAGCAACAUCUCGUAUAUCUGUCAAGCACGUGGUUGAGGUUAUCCGGUCAUUCAAUGAGUACAAAUGGUUUCUUGUUACAAGUAUUGGUUUUGGUGGCAUGCUCGACCUCCAGAUGCUUCAGACAUUGAACCUAAAAUUCAGCGCUUGGACAAUGAGCAAGGUCAGCACUAGCCGCCGUGCACUUGUCCUGGCUGCUAACAAGGUACUGAAAUUCUGGCCAGAGGAUGUUCACAAGGUUUUUGGGAUCCCGUGCGGGCAUCGCAACAUAAAGGGCCGUGAUGGUCACAUCAAGCCGGAGGCGGUUCAGUUCAUGAAGACCGCAUUGGGAAUGGACAAGAAGGGGCUUCAUAGCCUGCAUGCAGUGGAAGAUUUCCUCAGGAGGGUCAUUUCUGAAUCAUCAAGCAAGCUAGAGAAGGACUGCUUCCAAAUUGCCUUUGUUAUUUUUGUGAUGGGCCAUGUUCUAGCACCGACCACAAAGCAUGAUUACGCCACUAUCGAUUUCUGGGGGGCUCUAGCUGACACCGAGACGAUAUCCCAGUUCAAUUGGUGUGAGUAUGUGAUUCAAGCUAUGCUAGCUGGGGUUAAGAGGCUGAAGAAUGACAUCCGUUCAGGCAACCCCGUCAGUAACUUAGUAGGAUGCCAUUUUUUCCUGUAG
rnacentral:rRNA from 1 species